rnacentral:rRNA from 1 species
UUGGAGGGCAAGUCUGGUGCCAGCAGCCGCGGUAAUUCCAGCUCCAAUAGCGUAUAUUAAAGUUGUUGCAGUUAAAAAGCUCGUAGUUGAACCUUGGGCCUGGCUGGCCGGUCCGCCUCACCGCGUGCACUGGUUCGGCCGGGCCUUUCCCUCUGGGGAACCCUAUGGUCUUCACUGAUCGUAGCGGGGAACCAGGACUUUUACUGUGAAAAAAUUAGAGUGUUCAAAGCAGGCCUAUGCUCGAAUACAUUAGCAUGGAAUAAUAAAAUAGGA